GAUCACUCUGUUUUUACAAAGCCUUAGGCACACAGGGAGCAUGUGAUAUGCCAGCCUACUGUGGUAUUUUUAUGUGAAAACACAACAAUUCGUGAUAAGAAGUCACAGUGAUGGUUGAGAAGAUAUACCAGCCAUUCCAGCAUCUUUGUUGCUGAGAUAGUCAUCUCCUGUAAAGGGCCUUUGAGGACAAUGAUUUCUCAAACAUGGACCCAUAGUUGCUGGAACUUUUUUGCAGGCACUCUGAGUGUGGCAUUCAACUCAUCUACAUCUGCUCUGUAAACAGCUGUUCAGUAAGAAAACAACUUCCCUUGGAUGAAGAUGACACCGACUUUUACUCCUCAGCAAAAAUAACUGGGACAACAGAGGAAAUUUUAAUUUAAAAAGAACUUUUCCUUUUAAGUGACAUCUUUGUAUAGGUGGAAAUUAUUUCUGCCAGUGCGCUCACAAGUCAAUUUUCAAGCACUGAUUUAAUAAUAAGAAGUAGCACACUGUCUAAAAGUAAAUGUUUAAUAUAUAUCUAUCAUCUAUACACAAAUGCCUUCACUCAUGAGUCAUAGGAAGAGUCAUCAUUAGAGGAUAAUCACAAAGGCUUAAAGAAAGGCUGUAUUAACUCAUCCUUCUUACAACAGCACAAAAAGAGCUGUUGCUCAGACCUGAAGGGGAUCAAAGAUUUUAAAUGCAUACAGGUUUGAUUUAUGAAGCAACCAAGAAAAUCCAACUCAUUUCUGUUAUUCACUAAUCACUAAAAGAUAUAACCUUAUUUUUAUUGCUUCCAAAUACCACUGAUUAAGAAUUUACACAAGGUAUCUGACCUCAAUUGCAAUGAUUACUGUCUGCUUCACAGUGUUUACUGCAUUUAAAUUCACAGUGUUCUUGUGAGAUAAAAAAGUGCAAUUGUUCACACAAAUGAAGAGCUAGUAGAUUUUAAGAUGAAUGACAAAAUUCUAAAAAUUAUUUAGAUGGCUUGAAUCCUACUGAUUUCAAGGAGCUGAAAUUUAUUUUUCAAGGGUAUGUGUCAGAAGUGAUGGGCAGGAUUCAUCUCACUUAACUUUAAACUGUCUAAGCAAUUUGUCAGCUCUCCCUCUACCGAAAUGCAGGGCUACAGAUCUCUAGAGUACAAUUCAUUCUUUCCCCAUGCAGGAUCUAAGCCAGAUGAUUGAAUAAAUUUUGGAAUAAUUUUAUUCUCCACUGAUUACAUAAAAAACCUAAAUGGCUGGCAUAAAAUGUACAUUGAGCAUAGUCAAAUGGAAGUGAAAAGAAACCUACCUGGUGGAUACCAGAGAAGUUUAAGGCCACUUUAAUGUCCAUUCCAAAUUAACAUGAGGGGUUUUCAGCUGUUGUAAUUUGCUUCCACUGUACCUAAACUGAAAAAGUCAUGCUGGCAGGGAGACUACUGAGCCAUGGAAAUGGGAUGUACUUCUCCUCCAAAGAAGGAAUUGUCAUAAUAAGCCUCAGAGGACUUACAAGAUUUAUAAUUGUCUAGGUCUUCCGUUGUGAGUCUAGCCACCUUAUGGCUCAAAGCUCUAGAGUUAAGUUGCUCAGUGUUGGAGCAGCCUAUAUUCAUCCUUGUUUGCAGUGGGAGUUAAUUUCUUAGAUAUGAAUAUUUCAAGCGUUUGAAACCCUUUAAUUCUCAUGUUAUUUUAAAAUCCUUUCCCUCAAGGUUUUUAACACUGGACAACCAUUAGGAAACAUGUAAAAUGAGUACUUUUUGGUUUAGUCCUGUUUUAAUGUCUGGGUGUAUGCAAAAUUAAAAAGAUAACAUUACAAUAGAUAAUGACAGUUGUAAUUACUUGUAGUCUCAAUAUAGACUUCUAUUGGGAAAAUAUGUCUUACUUUACUAGAUUUUCUCUCUAGCAUACAAUCAUAACUGGAUAGGAAAAUCAGACUCAGUGCAACAAUUCAGCAAAUAAAUUGAGGACUUCACUUUCCAGGCCUCACAUACUUGACAUUCUGGUACUUCAAAGAAACUUGAAAAAUUAAAGAAUGGAAUGUUAUUGGCAACAUCAUCUACUGCUCACUAAAGGGCAUGUGUAGAUUCAUAAAACGGAAGGGUUUUCUUUAUAACAACAACAAAAAAAAUCUAUAUUUCAUUACAGUUGCACACUGUGGUGUGACUGAUUGGUUGUUGCAGAGCUAAUAAAAAAGAUGACUACUUGCAGCUGAUAACAUAUCCUAUUUCCAUUUAAUUUGAUGGUUUUCUGCUAGGCUGUUGGGAACCUGUAAUCACAAAACAUUGAAGAUUCAGCUAUUUCGAAGCCUGGUUGCAAUUUCUGCUGUUUUCUGACUACUUAGCCUUACUUAGAAAUAUAACCCCUUACUAUUUGUUAUGAAGAUAGUCAUUAAAGUGUACACUAACACUGUCAUAUGUAAAAUUCACUAUCUCCAACCAAACAUAUGAGAACACGUACUACCUUUUUAUGCCAGAGAUAAUUAUAAUUUUUAAUUUUUGUUAUUGGUGCCUAAUUACUCUAGGAAUGUACUAUUAAUAAACAAAAAGGACAGUUUCUGCCUUAAAGGACUUCCAAGUACCAGCUAGAGGCAAAAAAAUCAAAGAAAGCAAGGGCAAUUUUUGCACAAGGGCAGAAUUGGCACAGAUAAUUUCCACAAAGAAUUUGUACAUUAAAACCUUACUUAUUGUUUUAACCUAUUUUUAAUACAGAACCUGGGACCAGGUUCUGUAAAUCAAUGGUAGAUACAAUUUUAAAAACCAACGUGUUAAACUAACAAUUACUUGGAAAUUCAGGGGUCCCAAAGUUUCUGGAGGGUAAAUGUAGCCAGAUAUACCUCAUUUAGCUGCACAAAUACAACAGAUAUCAGAAAACCAUAAUGGCUUCCUAUAUAGCUGUUGUCAGAUGGCAGAGAGGGCCUAACAACAAAGCCAAAUAAAUGUUAUUUUAAUUAUUUAUUCUAUGACAAUUUAAAUAUGGACAUGAAAAAUAAUGCAUAAAUAUUUCUAGAUAUUUUUUUCUCCUCAACCUAAAACCAGGGGGGAAAAAUUUCCAUCAUGAUAUAGGAAUCAUUAGAUCUAUACGCAGUCUCAAAGUGCCAAAGCUAACCAUGUGAUUGUGUUCCUGACCUGGUCUCAUAUUAGUUGGGUGCUUUUUCACUUUCUCAGCUUAAGAUAUCCUCCCACUGAGGAAGAAGGAUUUGGCAGAAACAACACUUGAUGAACUGACCACAACCCAUGAAGUUGAGCCUGGGAAGAAGGGAAGAUGGGAAAAGGGCGUUUUCAAUUUUCUUUCUUGUUAUUCUACUCUUAUGUAAUUGUUAAUAAAUUAGAAU